rnacentral:rRNA from 1 species
AAAUUGAAGAGUUUGAUCAUGGCUCAGAUUGAACGCUGGCGGCAGGCCUAACACAUGCAAGUCGAGCGGUAGCACAGAGAGCUUGCUCUCGGGUGACGAGCGGCGGACGGGUGAGUAAUGUCUGGGAAACUGCCUGAUGGAGGGGGAUAACUACUGGAAACGGUAGCUAAUACCGCAUAACGUCGCAAGACCAAAGUGGGGGACCUUCGGGCCUCAUGCCAUCAGAUGUGCCCAGAUGGGAUUAGCUAGUAGGUGGGGUAACGGCUCACCUAGGCGACGAUCCCUAGCUGGUCUGAGAGGAUGACCAGCCACACUGGAACUGAGACACGGUCCAGACUCCUACGGGAGGCAGCAGUGGGGAAUAUUGCACAAUGGGCGCAAGCCUGAUGCAGCCAUGCCGCGUGUGUGAAGAAGGCCUUCGGGUUGUAAAGCACUUUCAGCGGGGAGGAAGGCGNNNNNNNNNNNNNNNNNNNNNNNNNNNNNNNNNNNNNNNNNNNNNNNNNNNNNNNNNNNNNNNNNNNNAACCUGGGAACUGCAUUCGAAACUGGCAGGCUAGAGUCUUGUAGAGGGGGGUAGAAUUCCAGGUGUAGCGGUGAAAUGCGUAGAGAUCUGGAGGAAUACCGGUGGCGAAGGCGGCCCCCUGGACAAAGACUGACGCUCAGGUGCGAAAGCGUGGGGAGCAAACAGGAUUAGAUACCCUGGUAGUCCACGCCGUAAACGAUGUCGAUUUGGAGGUUGUGCCCUUGAGGCGUGGCUUCCGGAGCUAACGCGUUAAAUCGACCGCCUGGGGAGUACGGCCGCAAGGUUAAAACUCAAAUGAAUUGACGGGGGCCCGCACAAGCGGUGGAGCAUGUGGUUUAAUUCGAUGCAACGCGAAGAACCUUACCUGGUCUUGACAUCCACAGAACUUUCCAGAGAUGGAUUGGUGCCUUCGGGAACUGUGAGACAGGUGCUGCAUGGCUGUCGUCAGCUCGUGUUGUGAAAUGUUGGGUUAAGUCCCGCAACGAGCGCAACCCUUAUCCUUUGUUGCCAGCGGUCCGGCCGGGAACUCAAAGGAGACUGCCAGUGAUAAACUGGAGGAAGGUGGGGAUGACGUCAAGUCAUCAUGGCCCUUACGACCAGGGCUACACACGUGCUACAAUGGCAUAUACAAAGAGAAGCGACCUCGCGAGAGCAAGCGGACCUCAUAAAGUAUGUCGUAGUCCGGAUUGGAGUCUGCAACUCGACUCCAUGAAGUCGGAAUCGCUAGUAAUCGUAGAUCAGAAUGCUACGGUGAAUACGUUCCCGGGCCUUGUACACACCGCCCGUCACACCAUGGGAGUGGGUUGCAAAAGAAGUAGGUAGCUUAACCUUCGGGAGGGCGCUUACCACUUUGUGAUUCAUGACUGGGGUGAAGUCGUAACAAGGUAACCGUAGGGGAACCUGCGGUUGGAUCACCUCCUUA